UACGAAGGGUGCAAGCGUUACUCGGAAUUACUGGGCGUAAAGCGUGCGUAGGUGGUUUGUUAAGUCUGAUGUGAAAGCCCUGGGCUCAACCUGGGAAUUGCACUGGAUACUGGCAGGCUAGAGUGCGGUAGAGGAUGGCGGAAUUCCCGGUGUAGCAGUGAAAUGCGUAGAGAUCGGGAGGAACAUCUGUGGCGAAGGCGGCCUGCUGGGCAGUUUGGCUGACACUGAGGCGCGACAGCGUGGGGAGCAAACAGG
rnacentral:rRNA from 1 species